AUGGCCUGGGCUCUGCUCCUCCUCACCCUCCUCACUCAGGGCACAGGGUCCUGGGCCCAAUCUGCCCUGACUCAGCCUCCUUUUGUGUCCGGGGCUCCUGGACAGUCGGUCACCAUCUCCUGCACUGGAACCAGCAGUGACGUUGGGGAUUAUGAUCAUGUCUUCUGGUACCAAAAGCGUCUCAGCACUACCUCCAGACUCCUGAUUUACAAUGUCAAUACUCGGCCUUCAGGGAUCUCUGACCUCUUCUCAGGCUCCAAGUCUGGCAACAUGGCUUCCCUGACCAUCUCUGGGCUCAAGUCCGAGGUUGAGGCUAAUUAUCACUGCAGCUUAUAUUCAAGUAGUUACACUUUC